GGUUAGUGUGUACGGUUAUAGUUACUGUCUUUCACGUUUCGAUGCAGUUUUUAAAGUGAGCUUUUUAGCAUUUCAAAAUGUUUGUUAAGUAGCAUAAUGUGGUAAAGCAGAUUAAUGAAAUCCAUGUCCAUUAGGAAAAAAUCCAGGAAAAUAGCAUGAUCCAGGUUGUUCUUCAAUUGCAACCAAAGAUAAUCAAGGACAAAUGCAAAAUAUCCAACUGAAAUUCUCUUCAUAUUCGUGGUAAUUUUGGAAAAUAUUUUGUCCAGAGAACGGUGCCUUAAAAGAAAGAACUUUGGUUGUGAUAAUGUGGCAGUAUAAUUUGCGUGAAUCCGUCGUCGCCUUUCCAAAGACUGACCCAUCGGAUGGUGAAACU